rnacentral:rRNA from 1 species
UACGGAGGGUGCAAGCGUUAUCCGGAUUCACUGGGUUUAAAGGGUGCGUAGGUGGGUUGGUAAGUCAGUGGUGAAAUCUCCGGGCUUAACCUGGAAACUGCCAUUGAUACUAUCAGUCUUGAAUAUUGUGGAGGUCAGCGGAAUAUGUCAUGUAGCGGUGAAAUGCUUAGAUAUGACAUAGAACACCAAUUGCGAAGGCAGCUGGCUACGCAUAUAUUGACACUGAGGCACGAAAGCGUGGGGAGCAAACAGG